rnacentral:rRNA from 1 species
UACGAAGGGGGCUAGCGUUGCUCGGAAUCACUGGGCGUAAAGCGCACGUAGGCGGCUUGUUAAGUCAGGGGUGAAAUCCUGGAGCUCAACUCCAGAACUGCCUUUGAUACUGGCGAGCUUGAGUUCGGGAGAGGUGAGUGGAACUGCGAGUGUAGAGGUGAAAUUCGUAGAUAUUCGCAAGAACACCGGUGGCGAAGGCGGCGCUCUGGACCGAGACUGACGCUGAGGCGCGAAAGCGUGGGGAGCAAACAGG